GCCGGCACCGCAGCCGACGCGCCACACCGCACUACAUCGCAGAGCCUCCGCCCCAAGUGCAGAUCCGCGCCAUGGAGGACGAGGAAUUAGUGAGAGAAGAGGGCAGCACCGACUCGGCAAGUCCUGAUGAGGAUUCUACGAAGGACCUACCCUCAUCUGAGUCCAGGGGCUGCAGGCGCCUCUCCAGCAUCAUCCGCCAGCUCCACGACAGGACCGGCACCAGGCUGCCAGCU